rnacentral:rRNA from 1 species
UUCGGGUCGUAAAGCUCUGUUGUAUGGGAAGAUAAUGACGGUACCAUACUAAAGCCCCGGUUAACUACCCGCCCCAGCCGCGGUAAUACACUAGGGGCGAGCGUUGUCCGGAAUUACUGGGUGUAAAGAGUUGUUAGGCGUUUAUGAAAGUCAAAUGUGAAAAACCUGGGCUUUCCGAGGGUGUGCAUCUGAAACUCUUACCUUGAGUCAAGGAUAAGAGAUGGGAAUUCCUGGUGUAGCGGUGAGUGCGGAAUAUCAGGAAAAAUACCAAAAUGCGAAAGCGGCUCUCUGAACUUGAACUGACGCUGAGGCUUUCUGCGUGGGGAUGAAACAGGAUUACAUACCCUGGUAGUCAUCAACAGGAUUAUAUUUCCUGGUAGUCCAAUAAACCA